GCCAGUGUUCCGGGUUGGAGCGCCACCAUGAUUCGUAAUCAGUAGGUCGGCAGUUCGAUUCUGCCCAUUGGCUCCA
rnacentral:tRNA from 1 species